CUCGUAUUGUAUUUUUAUUAGAACUUCUGUUUUGUUUCUGUAUAUUAAAUAAUGGUAUGUGUUGCUAUGGUGUUUGUCAGAGUAAAAUACUGUGUUAUACGUUGUUUACAACAGGUAUAGCUAACGACAACUAACAGCUGAAAACUGCUAACAAGAACUGACAAAGGCUAACGACAGCUGACAACUGACAACAAACGCUAACAACAGCUGACAACUGCUUACAACAGCUAACAAUGAUUAACAACUGCUAACAACAACUAAUAAUGGCUAACGACAACUGACAAUAGCUAAUAACAACAACUGAGAACAGCUAACAACAACUGACAACAGCUAACAACAGCUGACAACUGCUUACAACAGCUAACAACAAUUAACAACUGCUAACAACAGCUGACAACUGACAACAACUAACAACAGCUGACAACUGCUUACAACAGCUAACAACAAUUAACAACUGCCAACAACAACUGAUAAUGGCUAAAAACAACUGACAAUAGCUAACAACAGCUGACAACUGACAACAACAACUGGUAAUGGCUGACAACCGCUAACAAAAACUGAUAACGGCUAACAACAACUGACAAUCACCAACAACAACUGGCAACCGCUAACAACAACUGACAACAGCUGACAACUGACAACAACAACUGGCAACCGCUUACAAUGGCUCACAACAGCUGACAACUGCUUAUAACAGCUAACAACAGCUAACAAGUGACGACCGCAAACAACUGGCAACCGCUAACAACAACUGAUAACAGCUGACAACUGCUAACAAUAACUAAAAACGGCUAACGACAACUGACAACAGCCAACAACAACUGACAACAGCUAGCAACAACUGACAACAGCUAAUGAUGACUGUUAACAAUUAACAACAACUGACAAUGGCUAACAACAACUGACAAUGGCUAACAACAACUGUUAAAGGCUAACAACAACUGACAAUGGCUAACAACAACUGACAAUGGCUUACGACAACUGACAACAGCUAACAACAACUGACAACAGCUAACGACAUCUAACAACAGCUUACAACAGAAGACAACUACAAACAACGACUGAAAACGGCUAACAAAAGCUGACAACCACUAACAACAGCUGAUAAUGGCUAACAGUAGGCGUCCAUCUUGCUUUUAUGACGCCAAUGCUAUUAACUCGGGUGUAACGUCAUUCCCAGAUGACUUCCGAGGUAACUAGAGCUCAGCAUAAGCAUUACUAUAUUCUUCUUUGUCAUGAUGUGUUCAGUUAAUUUAGUUUUUCCCUGGUUUUUUUAUUUGAGUGUAUUUUCUUUUUGUUUCCUCUAGUGUUCCUGUUCCCCUGUAGUCCAGUUUGUGUUCCCACCCUGUUCUUAGUUUUAAUCUUUGGAUCGGUUUUCAGUGUUUCCUGUUUUAUUUUGUAG